rnacentral:rRNA from 1 species
GGAGGAAAGCAGGGGAUCGCAAGACCUUGCGCUUUUGGAGCGGCCGAUGCCUGAUUAGCUUGUUGGUGAGGUAAAAGCUCACCAAGGCUCCGAUCAGUAGCUGGUCUGAGAGGACGACCAGCCACACUGGGACUGAGACACGGCCCAGACUCCUACGGGAGGCAGCAGUGGGGAAUUUUGGACAAUGGGGGCAACCCUGAUCCAGCCAUGCCGCGUGAGUGAAGAAGGCCUUCGGGUUGUAAAGCUCUUUCAGCCGGAACGAAACGGUCACGGUCAAUACCCGUGACUACUGACGGUACCGGAAGAAGAAGCACCGGCUAACUACGUGCCAGCAGCCGCGGUAAUACGUAGGGUGCGAGCGUUAAUCGGAAUUACUGGGCGUAAAGCGUGCGCAGGCGGUUUUGUAAGUCAGAUGUGAAAUCCCCGGGCUUAACCUGGGAACUGCGUUUGAAACUACAAAGCUAG